rnacentral:rRNA from 1 species
AAACGUAGGGGGCGAGCGUUGUCCGGAAUUAUUGGGCGUAAAGGGCGUGUAGGCGGCUCGUGAAGUCAGGAGUGAAAACCCGGGGCUCAACCCCGGGCGUGCUUUUGAAACCAGCGGGCUUGAGUGCAGGAGAGGGAAGUGGAAUUCCCAGUGUAGCGGUGAAAUGCGUAGAUAUUGGGAGGAACACCAGUGGCGAAAGCGGCUUCCUGGCCUGUAACUGACGCUGAGGCGCGAAAGCGUGGGGAGCAAACAGGAUUAGAUACCCUGGUAGUCCACGCCGUAAACGAUGGGUGCUAAGUGUUGGGGGUAUCGACCCCCUCAGUGCUGUAGUUAACGCAAUAAGCACCCCGCCUGGGGAGUACGUUCGCAAGAAUGAA